rnacentral:rRNA from 1 species
GAGUUUGAUCAUGGUUCAGGACGAACGCUGGCGGCGUGCCUAAUACAUGCAAGUCGAGCGAGCCGAGAUGGCAGAUCUGCUUCGGCAGUGACGCCACGGAAGCGAGCGGCGGAUGGGUGAGUAACACGUGGGUAACCUGCCCCUCAGUCUGGGAUACCACUUGGAAACAGGUGCUAAUACCGGAUGACAGCUUUUUUCGCAUGAAGAGAGCUUGAAAGGCGGCGUAAGCUGUCGCUGAAGGAUGGACCCGCGGUGCAUUAGCUAGUUGGUGAGGUAACGGCUCACCAAGGCGACGAUGCAUAGCCGAGUUGAGAGACUGAUCGGCCACAUUGGGACUGAGACACGGCCCAAACUCCUACGGGAGGCAGCAGUAGGGAAUCUUCCACAAUGGACGCAAGUCUGAUGGAGCAACGCCGCGUGAGUGAAGAAGGUCUUCGGAUCGUAAAGCUCUGUUGUUGGUGAGGAAGGACGGAGAGAGCAACUG